rnacentral:rRNA from 1 species
UACGUAGGGACCAAGCGUUGUUCGGAUUUACUGGGCGUAAGGGCGCGUAGGCGGCGUGGUAAGUUACUUGGGAAAUCUCUGAGCUUAACUCAGAACUGCCAAGUGAUACUGCUGUGCUCGAGUGUGGAAGGGGCAAUCGGAAUUCUUGGUGUAGCGGUGAAAUGCGUAGAUAUCAAGAGGAACACCUGAGGUGAAGACGGGUUGCUGGGCCAACACUGACGCUGAGGCGCGAAAGCCAGGGGAGCAAACGGG